GAGCAAUUCAGUGAUUACAUUGAGGAAACCACAAAUGUAAGCAAACAGUCCUACUAUUACGUGAAAAGCUACUUCUGGUUAGAAUAAAUUUUCUAGCAAUAGCCCCAUAAAGGAUUUCAGACGGACUUAUCUGGAAGUCAAGAACUUAGCUGAAGUGGUAUCUUCUGGACACAGCAUUUGAUGACUCAUAAUGCAGCCCUAGUGCUGAUUAAGAACUUAAGUUGCAAUGAGGAGUUUAUAGAAAACAGUCUCGUGAAACAGUUUUCCUUGGUCUAAAGUGGAAAUUCUAAUUUGGAAGUAGCUAGGUGAUGAGGAGAGCUUGAGAAGGGUGGAGUAUGUCUUCACUGGUGCUUUUUCCCCUGCAUCUGGGGGAGAGAGAGCAAGAGGUACUAUAGCUUCUAUAAGGGAAAAGAAAAUGACGGGAUGAAAAUGGAAAGAGGUAUAUUCAGUUAUAUGGAUGUUUGGAAAAAUUCACGAGGCUGGUAUCAUGUAGUCAAAACAUCUGGAUGAGUCAAAGAAACUGUCAGCCUUUGAAUAUACUCCUGGCAUAUGAACACCGCAAAGGUGCUGUUUCCACUUAUAGAUGCAAUGACUUUCUCUUCCUUUCUUGAUUCUUUCAUCCAGCAAAGGAAUCCAGAGUCACUCAAUUUGGUAUUGCUGGACUGUAAAUAAGGCAUCCAUGGAGGCUGUUCUAUUCCUUUCAUAGCCCAUGUUACUGGUACCCUAACCUAAGUAACGCUCAGGCAGGCUUAUAUUUAGAGCACAUGCAUAACCCUCAUGCUAUUUAAUUACAGCUGAAAGGUCACGCAUUGAGAAAACUGGCACCUUGUUUGCAAUGGCCCUAAUAAUUAGCAAUGUCCUCGGUUACAUAGCACAUGCAUAGAAAGAAAUUCCUGAUGAAAUAAUGAAGAAGGAAAUGGAUAUGACCCCGGGCUACCUCUGUGCUUCCAAGAUAGCAUCAUUUCCCAUCACGGGUUCCAAACUGGUAUCCAGAAAGCUAGAUCUGGCCUGCGGACUUGUUUAGUUUGGACUACACAGUGUUUUAUAAAAUCUGAGCCAAAAUUUGAAAAUAGGGAAAUUUCGCAUUCUCUGUGUGAUGAAGAUCAGCUGGAACUGGCUAGUGACUACCCCAGGGUGCCACAGUCCUCAUCAUUCCCAACCACUUCCCUGACUUUGAGACUGAGUGUCUGUGAGAUAAUAGAAAAUAUAUAUCUAUUGUUCUCUGCCCCCAGUUCCUGGAACAGAACUCCUAAAACCCCUUUAAUUUCCUCAGUGAUAAGAGUGCAAGGAGCAUCUUUUGUUCUAAUAUUUGCACUUUGACCCCACUUCCUGACACAGAACUCCUAAAUCCCUUGUAAUUUCCUGGGUGAUAGCAGCGUCUUUUGUUCUAAUGAAGUGACUGUUGGUGGGCUCCUGGAUGGGAGCUGGUCACCAGAAAGACCAAGUCAUGAUUGGAAUUUUCAGCUGCACUGCCCAUUCUCCAGAGAGGAGAGAGGAGCUGGAAAUGGAGUUAAUGAAUGAUCGUACCUACAAGAUGAAUCCUCCAUAAAAAUCCCAGAAGUGUGGAAUUUGGCAACCUUCUGGGCUGGGGAACACACCUACAUGCCAGCAGAGUAGGACACUCCAUCUCCAUGGGGACAGAAGCUCCUGUUCUUGGGACCCUUCCAGACUUCACAUUAAGUAUCUCUUCACCUGGC
rnacentral:lncRNA from 1 species